ACCACGUGCACGUUGAGGCACGUAAGAUGGCAAGCAAAAGACAAGCUUCAGUGCUUUCAUUUUCCCCUUAAACCCAAAACGGCCUACUAGGCAACUGAACCAGGAUCAUCAUAUGAAUCUGAUAAUAUUUUGCUGGCUACGCCAAUAAAAAGAAAUGUAGACUAUUGAAAUAAGAGCACAUACUAGGUAGUACAAAAAUAUAAACUGCAAUACAU